GGGUAACUUUUCCUCUGGACAGGUCCACAAGAAAGGUGGGACAAUACAAAGAUUGUAGAGACUGAUGAUGUGGGGAAGAUACAGAUGUGGAAUGGCAUUAUAGGGGCACAGACAAAGAAAAAUCUUAAUGCAAAUUAGUCAAUGAGCUAUAUAAACCUCAAAAAGAGGGUCAAAAAGAGAAAAAAGGCCCAAAAGAGGUUAAGUAACAGCACAGAAAAAUAUGUCUGGAUACUUAGAUGAGGUUGUCUUUAGAAGAAAAAAAAAACUUUUUGGUUUAUUCAAGCAAACAUUGAGUUGGAUUUCUCUGAGCUGUCGCCAAUCUUCACUGAGAAUGUGUACAAUGGUAAAAGUGAAAUGGGCCAAGCUGACCAAGUGAUGAGGACCAUAUGGGCAUUCUGGCAAAGGAAGCUCCCAGCCCGCCACAUCAUCCCGCUCAUUAGACACUUUCACAAAACCUUGCACCAGUCUGCGUUCAAAUAAGGCCUUCUACCAAUUUUUGUCUGGGAGGAACAAAAGGGAGUGUGAGCAGCAGCAAAGCUGACCUAGAAGACGUGCAGCAAAUAAGAAGUAGGAUGAACAAAUCUCUUGUGCAGUUAAUGAUAAAUUGCUCCUUUUGUAAAGAAGAGUUACAUAAAGAACUAACUUUACCAAGACAAGUAUGUAUUAAUUAGACUUCAGAAGAUGUUCUAAAGAGAGUCUUUGGUAUGUGAUAAAUAUAACUCUCUUGUGAAAUACUAUAAACAAAAUGCAUAACAUAGGAAAAGCAAACAUAUAAGACA